UCGAUCACUGGAUGUCAAUCUCAACGGCACAUCGUAUUAUCAAUCUCAACUCCACAGGGAGUAUACAACUCUUGCAGCCACUAGGCGCACCGAGUUUUACGGCUUUCUCAUCCAAACGAGAUAUGGUACCCAUUCACUGCUGGGUUGAUUGAGACA